AGGAUUAGAUACCCUGGCAGUCCACGCCGUAAACGAUGCAUACUAGGUGUUGGCCCUUUUGGGUCAGUGCUGCAGUUAACGCAUUAAGUAUGCCACCUGGGGAGUACGUCGGCAACGAUGAAACUCAAAGGAAUUGACGGGGGCCCGCACAAGCGGUGGAGCAUGUGGCUUAAUUCGAUGCAACGCGAGGAACCUUACCUGGGCUAAAUCCACAGCGCUACCUCUGGAAACAGAGGGUUUCUU
rnacentral:rRNA from 1 species